rnacentral:rRNA from 1 species
UACGUAGGGGGCAAGCGUUGUCCGGAUUUAUUGGGCGUAAAGAGCGUGUAGGCGGCCAUACAGGUCAGCUGUGAAACUCGAGGCUCAACCUCGAGCUGUCGGCGGAAACCAUCUGGCUAGAGUCCGGAAGAGGAGAAUGGAAUUCCCGGUGUAGCGGUGAAAUGCGCAGAUAUCGGGAAGAACACCCGUGGCGAAGGCGGUUCUCUGGGACGGUACUGACGCUGAGACGCGAAAGCGUGGGGAGCGAACAGG